UACGAAGGGGGCUAGCGUUGUUCGGAAUUACUGGGCGUAAAGGGUGUGUAGGUGGUUCAGCAAGUUAGAAGUGAAAUCCCUAGGCUCAACCUAGGAAUUGCUUUUGAGACUGUUGGACUUGAGUACAGGAGAGGUGAGUGGAAUUCCCAGUGUAGAGGUAAAAUUCGUAGAUAUUGGGAGGAACACCAGUGGCGAAGGCGGCUCACUGGCCUGUAACUGACACUGAGACACGAAAGCGUGGGGAGCAAACAGG
rnacentral:rRNA from 1 species